GAUGAACGCUGGCGGCGUGCCUAAUACAUGCAAGUCGAGCGAAUGGAUUAAGAGCUUGCUCUUAUGAAGUUAGCGGCGGACGGGUGAGUAACACGUGGGUAACCUGCCCAUAAGACUGGGAUAACUCCGGGAAACCGGGGCUAAUACCGGAUAACAUUUUGAACCGCAUGGUUCGAAAUUGAAAGGCGGCUUCGGCUGUCACUUAUGGAUGGACCCGCGUCGCAUUAGCUAGUUGGUGAGGUAACGGCUCACCAAGGCAACGAUGCGUAGCCGACCUGGGAGGGUGAGCGGACGCACUGGGACGGAGACACGGCCCAGACUCCUACGGUAGGCAGCAUCAGGGAAUCUUCCGCAAUGGACGAAAGUCUUACGGAGCAACGCCGGGUGAGUGAUGAAGGCUUUCGGGUCGUAAAACUCUGUUGUUAGGGAAGAACAAGUGCUAGUUGAAUAAGCUGGCACCUUGACGGUACCUGACCAGAAAGCCACGGCUAACUACGUGCCAGCCGCCGCGGUAA
rnacentral:rRNA from 1 species